GAUGAACGCUGGCGGCGUGCCUAAUACAUGCAAGUCGAGCGAACAGACGAGGAGCUUGCUCCUCUGACGUUAGCGGCGGACGGGUGAGUAACACGUGGAUAACCUACCUAUAAGACUGGGAUAACUUCGGGAAACCGGAGCUAAUACCGGAUAAUAUAUUGAACCGCAUGGUUCAAUAGUGAAAGACGGUUUUGCUGUCACUUAUAGAUGGAUCCGCGCCGCAUUAGCUAGUUGGUAAGGUAACGGCUUACCAAGGCAACGAUGCGUAGCCGACCUGAGAGGGUGAUCGGCCACACUGGAACUGAGACACGGUCCAGACUCCUACGGGUGGCAGCAGUAGGGAAUCUUCCGCAAUGGGCGAAAGCCUGACGGAGCAACGCCGCGUGAGUGAUGAAGGUCUUCGGAUCGUAAAACUCUGUUAUUAGGGAAGAACAAAUGUGUAAGUAACUAUGCACGUCUUGACGGUACCUAAUCAGAAAGCCACGGCUAACUACGU
rnacentral:rRNA from 1 species